UCCACCCUUCUUAGAGUACCA
rnacentral:miRNA from 1 species